rnacentral:rRNA from 1 species
AUAUUGGACAAUGGGGGAAACCCUGAUCCAGCGACGCCGCGUGUGUGAAGAAGGCCUGCGGGUUGUAAAGCACUUUUAGUGGGGAUGAAAAGCCAGGGGCUAAUACCCUUUGGUCUUGACCUAACCCAACGAAAAAGCACCGGCUAACUCUGUGCCAGCAGCCGCGGUAAUACAGAGGGUGCAAGCGUUAAUCGGAAUUACUGGGCGUAAAGCGUGCGUAGUCGGCUUUUUAAGUCGGGUGUGAAAUCUCCGGGCUCAACCUGGAAAUUGCAUUCGAUACUGGAAGGCUAGAGUUCGGCAGAGGGAAGUGGAAUUUCUGGUGUAGCGGUGAAAUGCGUAGAUAUCAGAAGGAACAUCAGUGGCGAAAGCGACUUCCUGGACCAGAACUGACGAUCAGGCACGAAAGCGUGGGGAGCAAACAGG